rnacentral:tRNA from 1 species
UGCCGAAGUGGCGGAAUUGGCAGACGCGCUAGAUUCAGGGUCUAGUAGGCUGUAAGCCUGUGUGGGUUCAAGUCCCGUCUUCGGCAU